rnacentral:rRNA from 1 species
AGAUGGGGAUAGCUAUUAGAAAUAGUAGAUAAUACCGAAUACGAGCACAGGGGUUAGAGAGUCUGUGAGGUAAAGGAGCUAAGGCUCCGCUGAAGGAAUGGCCUGCGGCCCAUUAGCUAGUUGGUGAGGUAAGAGCCCACCAAGGCGAUGAUGGGUAUCCGGCCUUAGAGGGUGAACGGACACAUUGGGACUGAGACUACGGCCCAGACGUCCUACGGGAGGCAGCAGCUAAGAAUAUUCCGCAAUGGACGAAAGUCUGACGGAGCGACGCCGCGUGGGUGAAGAAGGCCGGAAGGUUGUAAAAUCCUUUUGAAACUGAAGAAUAAAGCGUUGUAGGGAAUGACAGCGUGGUGACAGUAGGUUUUGAAUAAGCAACGGCUAAUUACGUGCCAGCAGCCGC